CAUAAAAAGUCAAAAAGUUAACCCAAACAUCCAUAUUUUUUUCCUCAAUUUUUUAGUCCAAAAAGACAAAAAGUGCACUUAUUUAGGACACCCCAAACAACCCCUUAAAUUUAAAUUUGAUUGUACUAUUGUAUGGUAUCAAUCCACUCCUUGCCGUUAGUGCAAUUUGAAUGAGAUGAACUGUCUUUCAAUUUCUGACUGUGCUUGUAUUACGCAUUAAUAAAAGAACUUAAUUUCAGAAAUAGGAGCCAGCUGGUAUUGUUGUUCUGCCAAUUUUUUUUUCCCCUGAAGCAUGUACUCUUUCUUGUUAGUUCUUAUAGCAAGUGCCCAUGUUAGAUUUUUUGUUUUACUUUCUUAUAUCUUGUAGUUAGUUUUUGCACAAUAACUAUUGCUUAUCUACUAUUUUUUUGUGUUAGGCUUCUACUUGGGAAUCUGUGGAAGUUGUCCGUGAUUAUUGGGCAAUAUUCCUUGAUUCAGAGCAGCAACUAAUCAAACUUGCACAAGAACUUGUUACCAGUGACGCUUUGAUGGAACAAAUUAAAGCAUUGGUCUAUCGUCACCCAGACAAACUCUUAUAUGGAGACAAUUGGAGGUAAAAACAAGGGCUACCGUGUAGAGAUGACUGUUGUUACUCAUUGCCAGAAUAGGAAAGACAUAGAUGACAGGUCAAAGUUUCGGAUCCUUCUUAUAAUUACUUGUCUUCCAGAGUUUUGGGCAGCAUGGAAGGGAGCUCAUUACAUCUGAGCUUGCAUUAAGGAUGCUCUCCAUCUUGAGUGGAGAGCAAUUUCUACCCAACAUGGAUCCAAUUUCUUUAAACAACACGCUUGAGAGGCUUGUGAUAAAGGUAGCCUUUAAUCUUUUGUCUAGAUCCUUCCCUGCUCACUUUAACCUCUCUUUUUUUGUAAUAAAAUGUAGUGUAGAUGAUUAUAGAUAUGGAUGUCUAUAUUAGUAAACAAGUGUUAUAUGUAUAAGUCACAUUCAAUAUAGUGCCUACUCGAGUCCAAUGUGGGCUUACUCAUGAAAACUAUAAACAUGCCUGCAACUUUAAACUGAUGGAACUGGCUUUUUUAUUUUCUGAUCUUCUUAAAUAAUUUUAUUUUAUUUUAUUUUAUUUUAUUUUAUUUUUUUGUGUAUUUCUUUUUGUAGAUGCUAUCAUUUUGAGUACGUGAUGAUAGCUUCACAUAUCGAUAUUGGAGCUUACUGUUGAUACUAAAACAAGCUAUAAUAUAUAUAUGUUUUUUUAUUUGUACUGUCGAUACUUUUGUUUUGUUUAGAUACAAAUUUGAGUCCUUGAAUUAUCAAAUUUAGU